rnacentral:rRNA from 1 species
UGGGGAAUAUUGCACAAUGGGCGAAAGCCUGAUGCAGCAACGCCGCGUGAGUGAUGAAGGCCUUCGGGUUGUAAAGCUCUGUCUUUUGGGACGAUAAUGACGGUACCAAAGGAGGAAGCCACGGCUAACUACGUGCCAGCAGCCGCGGUAAUACGUAGGUGGCAAGCGUUGUCCGGAUUUACUGGGCGUAAAGGAUGCGUAGGCGGAUUUUUAAGUGAGAUGUGAAAUACCCGGGCUUAACUUGGGUGCUGCAUUUCAAACUGGGAAUCUAGAGUGCGGGAGAGGAGAAUGGAAUUCCUAGUGUAGCGGUGAAAGUGCGUAGAGAUUAGGAAGAACACCAGUGGCGAAGGCGAUUCUCUGGACCGUAACUGACGCUGAGGCAUGAAAGCGUGGGUAGCAAACAGGAUUAGAUACCCUGGUAGUCCACGCCGUAAACGAUGAGUACUAGGUGUAGGAGGUAUCGACCCCUUCUGUGCCGCAGUUAACACAAUCAAGUACUCCGCCUGGGAAGUACGAUCGCAAGAUUAAAA